CUCUUAUAGAAUUUUGAAGAAGUAAACAGACCAUCGCACCUAAAUAUACAGAUCUGGCCAUAAUAUUACCCAAAUACAAUUAUGGAGUCUUCAAUAUGCCGAGUUUGCCUGGAAAAUGGCGACGACUUGGUCAAUAUAUUUGAAGAGUCCCAUCAAUUGGAAGUUUCCGUUGCGGAUAUGAUUUCUGAGUGGGCUGGCUACAAAAUUGAAAGAGGAGAUACAUUUCCCGAAACCAUCUGCCCUACCUGCCUGCAGGAUGCACAAAAUGCGUAUGGGAUGAAGCCAACUAACAGGAGAGGCCACCAACUCCACUGUCAUAUAAAAAGGGAUGAUAUACUCGAGAAAGAAGUGUACAAGGAGCCGGACAUCGAAUGUCCGAUAAAAAACAAUACCGAGGACAAUCAUCCAUGUGUUGCUAAAAUUAAGGAAGAAGAUAUCGAGGAACCUCUUGGCAAUCACUUCCAAAGCCAAGUAAGGGUCGCACCCCUCAAGAAACAGGCAUUUGAGGUGAAAUACAAUCCUAUAUCAAAGUGCAAGAUCAAGGUUGUGGAAGAUGAUAAACAGCGAGAAAUGGAGGACCGAUUCCAAUGCCAAAUAAGUCAGGAACCACUAGUAGAAGUAUUUACGGAGGUUGAGGAAAAUGAUAACCUGCGAGAAAUGGAGGAACAACUUGAAGAGGUGUUUGAGAAGGAAUACAAUCCUAUAUCAGAGUGCCAGACCAAUGCAGUGGAAGAUGAUAACCUGCAAGAUAUUGAGGAACCACUUGGAGAUCGAUUCGAUGUGGUCUUUGAGGAGGCAUACAAUCCUAUAUCAGAGAGCGAUAUCAAGGUUGUGAAAGAUAAUAUCCAGCAAAAUGAAGAUGAUAUCAUUGAAGUUGGUUGGGAGGCUGUUAAUGAUGAUGGUGAGAACAAUAGCAUUCAUAAAUGCUCUUACUGUUCGAAGAUUUUUAUAUCGAAAUCAGCUCUUACGUUGCACUGGCAAAAACACAUAGGAGAACGACCGUGCUCAAAGUCUUUUGAAACCAUAUAUCUUCAGCGACAAGUAAAAAGGCACGAAGAUACAUUGUCGUUUAAGUGUUACCACUGCGCGCUUACCUUUCGAAGUAGACUAGCGCUCAAGAGCCAUCUUAGCACACACCAGGAAAAAAAACAGUGUAACCAUUGCUUACACAUCUUUCAAUUUAGUUCAGCGCUCAAGAGGCAUCUUGGACUUAACUACGAAAAACAAAAUUUAAAGUGUACCCAUUGCACACAAACUUUUGCAUGCAAUACACUUCUUCAGCAACACUUGAAAACGCACACGGAAACUAUGCCGAUAAAGUGUCCACGCUGCUUAAAAAUCUUACCAUCUAAGUCAGCGCUUCAAAGUCAUCUUCGAAUACACGCAGAACAAACCUUCAGGUGCACCCCCUGCGCACAGACUUUUUUAAACCUUGAAGACCUCAAUUUACACCUACGAACCCACACAACACUCGAAAGACCAUUUAAGUGUUCCCAGUGCCCAAGGAGGUUCACCACGAGUACAGGUGUUAAGCUACACGAACGAAGGCACAGGGGGCAACAACGGAUAACAAUUCGGAAUAACACUGCCUAAUCGAUUGGACCUAUAAUUUGAAGAUAUGAGCACUGCAAGUUGCCUUAUUCUGAUCAUUUACCCUAGAGUGUUGCAGAUCACAGGCUUUUUUUUCUCAAAUCCACGUUUACCAGCAAUUCAAAACUGCUUGUAUUCUACUAUUUUCCGACUAUUUUCCAAUCUUAUCGCACAUUUUCUACAUUUAAUUAAAUUUGUGGCUCCUGCGAGAAGAGUUUUUCGUUAAAAAACAAGUGUUUAACUUUUUGUCCCAAUUUAGCGUUAUGAACAUUUGUGGGCGUUACAGUGGGUGGGCUGAGUAAAAAAACAUACAUCUUGAGUCCUUAUUCCAAAGUUUUUAGUCUUUAUAGAUUCCGAGAUUAGGGCGUUCAUAGACAUAAUUUAAAAAACGCUUCCAUGAAGUGUUACUUAUCGCAAUAAUAAUGAUUUUUAUUAUAAUAAACUUAACAAUUUUUGUUUUCAUUUAAGGUAGCAUACAAAUUUUGCAUUAUUCUAUUAGGAGUAUGGAAGCAAAACUGAUUAAAAAAAAACGAAAUAGGUAUAUAAAAAAUAUAUCUCACUUAAAUAUAACUUAUCAAAUAGUGGGAAUCAGUCUUAAAGUUGAAGAUUAUUAAUUAAGUUCAUUACUGUCACAUAAUUUUUUUUAAAAUACAAAAUAGCAUUUUACUCUACAAAUUAUGAAAAUAUCAUAGCACUUAAAAGUCUGAAAACAACCCUUAAAACGGAGAUUAAAAAGAAAGUAGCUCGAUUUUCAAAGUAUCGAUAGUAUUCGAAAGUGGCCAUCCGAAAGUAUCGAUAACAACACUAAAAUCUGGCAUCUCUAAUAGAAUUUUGAGAACGUAAACAAAUCCAUUGAGCGGAUAUAUCUGGACGUAAAUAUUUUCUAAAUAAAACCAGUUAUGGAGUCGCCGGCAUGCCGUGUUUGUCUGCGGAAUGGCGAAGACCUGCUCAACAUUUUUGAAGAAACUGUUGAAUUUGGAGUUUCCAUUGCGGGUAUGAUUUCGAAGUGCACCGGCCUUAAAAUUGAGAAGGGUGAUUGUCUGCCGGAUAGCAUUUGCCCUUCAUGCCUGCGGGAUGCCAAACAUGCAUUUGAGGUAAAGCAAAGUUACGAGAGGACCCGCAAACUCUACUGUCAUCCAAAGAAGGAUACGCCGAAUAUCGUGAGUCGUGUACCAAACCUGGAUGCUUCUGACACUAAGGAAGAUGUAUCAGGCGACCUGCGGGAGAAGGAGGAACCGUAUGGAGACGAGUUCCAGGGCCAAGUAAGGAAUGAACCACUCAAAGAAGACUUAUACGAGGAAGAACACGAUCCUGAAUCAGAAUGCGAGAUCGAAUCAUACGAUGACGAAGCGGAGACCAAGGUGGUGAUAGAUAAUUUCCAGAGAAGUGAAGACGAUGAUGUCGAUGAUGAUAAUGAAAAUAAUAGCUUUUUGUAUAAAUGCUAUUACUGUCCAAAGACGUUUACAUCGAUAUCAGCUCUCACGAUCCACUCGCGAAAACACACUGGAGAUCGACCGUUCAAGUGUACUCACUGCGGGAAAACUUUCUCCCACAAUACAUACCUUCAGCGACACUUGGUAACGCAUUCAGACAAGCCGUUUAAGUGUUCCAUCUGCACGAAGACCUUUGCAUUUUGCUCAACGCUUGAGAGCCAUUAUCGAAAACACUCAGGAGAACAACCUUUCAACUGUACCCGCUGCUCUAAGUCUUGUCCAAGUCUUGGACACCUUCAGGCGCAUAUUCGAAAACACCAUUUAGAAGAACAAGAUUUUAAGUGUACUUAUUGCCCAAAGUCGUAUUCCCGGCUUAAAAAUCUUCAGCUGCACUUGCGAACGCACACAGCAUAGCCCUAGCCACAAAGACUAAAGCAAAAUAAAAACAUCGGGAUUGUGCAUAAAAACAUUUUUUUCUGCAAGUGACUUUCCGGCGAAAUCUCUUAAAGUAUAAAUUAAUAUAAGGAAUUUAUAAUGUGUCUUUUCUCAUUCAUUUAAAAUUUUGACAACACAAAAUGUCAAAAAAAAAAAAAAAAUUAUACGUAUUGGAAAGUUUUCUACAGAUACACUUUAUUAAGUUCGUCAAAUAUAGUAACCGAGUCAAUUUCAAGACACUUUUGUUCCCUACUUUUUGAGCUCAUAUCCUCCUCGGCCUAGUCUUUCUUAAAAUAUGUACCUUUCCAAUGAUUUCAUACUCAAGGAUUUUUUAAACAGCUGCUCAGAAAUGUUAUAGAAACAUUAUUGUUUGUUUUUCAGACAAGUCAGCAAUUAAGAAGUUUAAAUAAAUUGCUAUUAAAAAUAAA